UUGGACUUUGAGUAUUCUUUCUUCAAUCUCUCUAGGCUCUCAAUAUCUUCUCUCCCAAACUCUCGAUGCUAUUUUCGUCACAACCCUUCUUCAACAUUCUGAAAAACUAUUGUUGAGGUUCAUGAGUGUUAUUGCCACUAACGGGAAGAUUUUCAUCAGUUCAAGUUUCUGUUUUAAUUGACACAGUAUGUUUCUAUGAUUCGAACUCUCAUUGGGAGGAUAUUACAUAUCGAGUCUUAUAUCAGUUCAAGUGAAAGAAUACACUUUGACUGUUUUACAUCGAUUCCAAUAACUCUCUAUUUAGAGGAUUUUUCAUUCAUACUUUUCUUUUGAUGUGUUUUUAGCAUUUACUCAGUUUCAUUUUAAC
rnacentral:lncRNA from 1 species